GACGAACGCUGGCGGCGUGCUUAACACAUGCAAGUCGAACGGAAAGGCCCUGCUUGCAGGGUGCUCGAGUGGCGAACGGGUGAGUAACACGUGGGUGAUCUGCCCCUUACUUUGGGAUAAGCCUGGGAAACUGGGUCUAAUACUGGAUAGGACCAUGCUGUAGGUGGUGUGGUGGAAAGAUUAGUUUCGGUAAGGGAUGAGCUCGCGGCCUAUCAGCUUGUUGGUGGGGUAAUGGCCUACCAAGGCGUCGACGGGUAGCCGGCCCGAGAGGGUGGACGGCCACAUUGGGACUGAGAUACGGCCCAGACUCCUACGGGAGGCAGCAGUGGGGAAUAUUGCACAAUGGGCGCAAGCCUGAUGCAGCGACGCCGCGUGGGGGAUGACGGCCUUCGGGUUGUAAACUCCUUUCAGCCAUGACGAAGCCUUCGGGUGACGGUAGUGGUAGAAGAAGCACCGGCUAACUACGUG
rnacentral:rRNA from 1 species